CAGAGAUUGUCCAGUACUCUAUUCGCCCAAAACUUUUACAUCUUACACCUUUGUCCUUAUCAUUCUCUGAGCUUCCAUCCGAUGGCAAAAUAGUACCAGAAAUAAACAUGUCAACAACUUCAGACAUAUCCAAGGGCUGUGGAUUUCCAUCUGCAUCAUAAGAGCAGAAGUUGUAAA